AGUGAACGCUGGCGGUAGGCCUAACACAUGCAAGUCGAACGGCAGCACAGUAAGAGCUUGCUCUUACGGGUGGCGAGUGGCGGACGGGUGAGGCAUACAUCGGAAUCUACUUUUUCGUGGGGGAUAACGUAGGGAAACUUACGCUAAUACCGCAUACGACCUACGGGUGAAAGCAGGGGAUCUUCGGACCUUGCGCGAUUGAAUGAGCCGAUGUCGGAUUAGCUAGUUGGCGGGGUAAAGGCCCACCAAGGCGACGAUCCGUAGCUGGUCUGAGAGGAUGAUCAGCCACACUGGAACUGAGACACGGUCCAGACUCCUACGGGAGGCAGCAGUGGGGAAUAUUGGACAAUGGGCGCAAGCCUGACCCAGCCAUACCGCGUGGGUGAAGAAGGCCUUCGGGUUGUAAAGCCCUUUUGUUGGGAAAGAAAAGCAGCAGGUUAAUACCCCGCUGUUCUGACGGUACCCAAAGAAUAAGCACCGGCUAACUUCGUG
rnacentral:rRNA from 1 species